AGCGAACGUUAGCGGCAGGCUUAACACAUGCAAGUCGAGCGAGAAAGGGGCUUCGGCCCUGAGUAAAGCGGCGGACGGGUGCGUAACACGUGGAUAAUCUGCCCUUCAGUGGGGAAUAACGUUCCGAAAGGAACGCUAAUGCCGCAUGUCACAACGAGACCCCCGGGUCACGUUGGAAAAGGGGACGCCCGCAAGGGGUUCUCGCUGGAGGAUGAGUCCGCGGCCCAUCAGCUUGUUGGCGGGGUAAUGGCCCACCAAGGCUUAGACGGG
rnacentral:rRNA from 1 species